rnacentral:rRNA from 1 species
GACGAACGCUGGCGGCGUGCUUAACACAUGCAAGUCGAACGGAAAGGCCCUGCUUUUGUGGGGUGCUCGAGUGGCGAACGGGUGAGUAACACGUGAGUAACCUGCCCUUGACUUUGGGAUAACUUCAGGAAACUGGGGCUAAUACCGGAUAGGAGCUCCUGCUGCAUGGUGGGGGUUGGAAAGUUUCGGCGGUUGGGGAUGGACUCGCGGCUUAUCAGCUUGUUGGUGGGGUAGUGGCUUACAAAGGCUUUGACGGGUAGCCGGCCUGGGAGGGUGACCGGCCACAUUGGGACUGAGAGACGGCCCAGACUCCUACGGGAGGCAGCAGUGGGGAAUAUUGCACAAUGGGCGGAAGCCUGAUGCAGCAACGCCGCGUGCGGGAUGACGGCCUUCGGGUUGUAAACCGCUUUCGCCUGUGACGAGGCGUGAGUGACGGUAAUUGGUAAAGAAGCACCGGCUAACUACGUG